rnacentral:rRNA from 1 species
AUUGAACGCUGGCGGAAUGCUUUACACAUGCAAGUCGAACGGUAGAGGGGGCAACCCCUCGAGAGUGGCGAACGGGUGAGUAAUAUAUCGGAACGUGCCCAGUCGUGGGGGAUAACGUAGCGAAAGUUACGCUAAUACCGCAUACGAUCUAAGGAUGAAAGCGGGGGAUCGCAAGACCUCGCGCGAUUGGAGCGGCCGAUAUCAGAUUAGGUAGUUGGUGGGGUAAAGGCUCACCAAGCCAACGAUCUGUAGCUGGUCCGAGAGGACGACCAGCCACACUGGAGCUGAGACACGGUCCAGACUCCUACGGGAGGCAGCAGUGGGGAAUUUUGGACAAUGGACGCAAGUCUGAUCCAGCCAUUCCGCGUGCAGGAUGAAGGCCCUCGGGUUGUAAACUGCUUUUGUACGGAACGAAAAGGUCUCUCUUAAUACGGGGGACUCAUGACGGUACCGUAAGAAUAAGCACCGGCUAACUACGUGCCAGCAGCCGCCGUAA